UGAACCAGCAACUGGAGGAAGUAUAGCGAAAGCUAANUGUUUGUGUCUAAAAAAUAAACAAUUCGAUUGAUCGAAUAAAUUCAAGGUAAAUAUNUGAUAAUGACAUUUUUACCUAUAGUCUUGACUAACUACGUGCCAGCAGUCGCGGUAAUACGUAGGAGGCUAGUGUUAUUCAUCUUUAAUAGGUUUAAAGGGUACCUAGACGGCAGAUAAAGCCAUAAUUGGAACUUGUUUGCUAGAGUUACUUGUGAAGAGGCUUUAAUGUACUGCAGGUGAAGAGAUGAAAUUCUAUUAUACUUUUUUCUUAUAGAAAUAUAUGGCACAGGCAGGGGUGAAGACAUCUUCUUAUGAGAUAACUGACGUUGAGGGACGAAGGCUUUUUAUAGCGAACAGGAUUAGAUACCCUGGUAGUCAAAGCAGAAAACUAUGAGUGCCAUGUAAUAGAAAAAAUUUUAUUAUAUAAGUGAAAGUGUAAGCAUUCCACCUCAAGAGUAAUUUGGCAACAUUGGAACUGAAAUCAUUAGACCGUAUUUGAGACCAGUAAUGAAGUAUGUUAUUUAAUUUGAUGAUACGCAAAGAACCUUACCACAACUU
rnacentral:rRNA from 1 species